UACGAAGGGGGCUAGCGUUGCUCGGAAUCACUGGGCGUAAAGCGCACGUAGGCGGAUUGCUAAGUCAGGGGUGAAAUCCUGGAGCUCAACUCCAGAACUGCCUUUGAUACUGGCGAUCUUGAGUCCGGGAGAGGUGAGUGGAACUGCGAGUGUAGAGGUGAAAUUCGUAGAUAUUCGCAAGAACACCAGUGGCGAAGGCGGCUCACUGGACCUGAUCUGACACUGAGGUGCGAAAGCUAGGGUAGCAAACGGG
rnacentral:rRNA from 1 species